rnacentral:tRNA from 1 species
CCUGGUGGCUCAGUGGUAAAGAAUCUGCCUGCCAAGCAGGAGAUGCAGGUUCGAUCCCUGGGUCAGGA